UACGGAGGAUCCAAGCGUUAUCCGGAAUCAUUGGGUUUAAAGGGUCCGUAGGCGGUUUUGUAAGUCAGUGGUGAAAGCCCAUCGCUCAACGGUGGAACGGCCAUUGAUACUGCAAGACUUGAAUUAUUGGGAAGUAACUAGAAUAUGUAGUGUAGCGGUGAAAUGCUUAGAGAUUACAUGGAAUACCAAUUGCGAAGGCAGGUUACUACCAAUAUAUUGACGCUGAUGGACGAAAGCGUGGGG
rnacentral:rRNA from 1 species